rnacentral:misc_RNA from 1 species
GAUGAAGAACGUAGCGAAAUGCGAUAAGUAAUGUGAAUUGCAGAAUUCAGUGAAUCAUCGAAUCUUUGAACGCACCUUGCGCUUCUUGGCAUUCCGAGGAGCAUGCCUGUUUGAGUGUCAUUAAAUCCUCAACCCCAUCUUCCUUGUGAAGUGGUCAGUUGGACUUUGGGAGCUGCUGGCUUGGUGUCAGCUCUUCUGAAAUAAAUUAGCAGGGAACCUUAUGUGCUGGACUGCAGCUUGGUAUUGAUAGUUGUCUUACCAGGUGACAGUCAGGCAUUUACUCUGCUCGCAGCCGUCUCUAGCUUGAGGCAAGUGACUUGACGAUUUGACCUCAAAUCAGGUAGGACUACCCGCUGAACUUAAGCAUAUCAAUAAGCGGAGGA